rnacentral:rRNA from 1 species
GAUGAACGCUGGCGGCGUGCUUAAUACAUGCAAGUCGAGCGAAAGGACGAGAUGCUUGCUUUUCUGAUGUUAGCGGCGGACGGGUGAGUAACACGUGGAUAACCUACCUAUAAGACUGGGAUAACUUCAGGAAACCGGUGCUAAUACGGGAUAAUAUUUUCAUCGGCAGGGUUCAAAAGCUUAAGACGGUUUUGCUGUACCUUAUAGAUGGAACCGCGAUGGUUUAGCAAGUUGGUAGGGUAACGGCUUCCCAAGGCAACGAUGGGUAGCCGACCUGCUAGGGGGAACGGCCACAGUGGGAGUGAGACGCGGUACAGAGUCCUAGGGGAGGCAGCAGCAGGGAAUGUUGGGAGAUGGGCGGAAGACUGCAGGAGCAACGGCGCGUGGGUGAAGAAGGGCUUCGGGUCGUAAGACUGUGUUAUUAGGGAAGACCGCAUGUGGCAGUAGCGGUGCACGUCUUGACGGUACCUACUCAGGAAGCACCGGCUAACUACGUG